CAGGUUCCCAACUGGCUUUGAGUUCCUGCCUUGUCGUCUGUUAAUGGACAGUUGAUUCAGGACAUAUGAGAGCCCUCAGCUUCCUGCUCCUGCCACUGGGCCUUCCUGCUACUAUCAUGAACACCACCCUCAGGAACGAUCCCAAAUAGAGUACAUACAUAUAUUCCAUGAGGUGGAUAAUUUGCUUAUUACUCCACCCCUAUGCCCAGAAACACCUCUACAAACAACAGAUGCUCAACAAAAACUGUUGCGUGAAUAAUGCAAAGAAGAGACCAAUAAUGCUAAAAGAGACCAAUGGAUGGCAAGCUCUGUCUGCUGAUGGGACUCGUGAGGACAUGGAACAUUUUCCCUGUCACAGAAGCUAUCAUUCAUUAGAGAUGUAGCAGGCAAUAACUUUAAUGUCCACUGGAAUGGCUCUGUGGAAGCUGCCCUGCCAAAGAAAACAGGUGCUCGAUGGCUGUGGAACAAGUCUGAGCAGAGAAUCCAAGCUGAACACUGACACACGUGACCACCGUUCUCAGGGCUGCAGAGAUCAGACAGCAUCAGAAAAAAGACUGGGACUCCUUCCUUAUGCUAGACAACCAAAGGAAAGAGAGCAUGACAGAAGGGCCACCAUUCAAGUCCAGACAUUGCUGUCUUCUGAACCCAGUCCACACUGCCCACCACUCAACCAUGAUCUACGUAAGCCAGUUGCAUAGAAGUAACUGAUGUCAGGAACAUCCUCCUCGUCCAUCUGGUUGACAAGCAUCAUUUAUAAUGGCACAGGUGUGGUAUCGCUCUGAUGAAGAACAAAGACAAGAAGAACAAAGACGGGAGCCUGGCAAAUACAAAUUACUUAUGUUUUACAAGAGAAGCAAAAUUGAAAGUUCUUUUAAAACACAGAGCCUAAUGUAUUAUUUCCUCAGUAGCAUAGAGUGGUAUAGCAGUCCUGAAAGAGGAAGGUUUCGUGUUUGCCCUUCUGUGAGCUUUUCUGUCUUCUGCCUUCUUUCAGUCCCUUGGGAGCCUCUCAUUGGCUUUGACUGGGGCACACAGAGACUGGAAGCUGGUUACUUCAUCCUUGAACAAAAAUCAGCUUCAGCACUUUAUCCUUCUGGGUACAAGCAAGUGGGAGUAUCUGGGUACCUCAUUGAAGCUGUCCUAUCAUCCCAACUGAGGACAUUGGAAAAGCAUCAGUUGCCGGGAAAGCAACUCCAUUACAAACAGUCAACACUAACUUCCUUCCCUGGUGGAUGGAUGGAGCUCUAGACCUUAGACUGAAGGGUGUGCUUGUUUGGGAGGGGACAGCCUUUAUCUGAAUGAAAGAGGGCGAAGCUCUCUUAUGUCUCUCAUGUCCUCUGUGUGAGGUCCUAGACCCUGAGAGUUUAAAGAACCUUCUUUAAUAAUUACAGGUGACUAGCACCCCUUCAAUUUUAACCUUAAUAUGUUCCUCUAUGUCUCUCACAAUCCCCAGAUAUAUAGAUAAACAUGCAUACAUGUUUGUUUUUAUUAUAUGAGUAUAGGCUUUCCUCUUGAAUGUGGACAGUGCUAUAGAAUGGGGAACGUGUUGGGGGCUACUUUAGCAGAAGUGACUUCUCUGAGUAAGUAUUAAAUGUGAUAAAUGUGAUAUCUGACCCUCUUUAGUGCAGUCUCAGAGUUGGCCAUGGGCAACACUGAAAUAAAUUAAUUAUUCUUAGUUAAGGCUUUGUCCUGUGCCCUGACACCAAACCUUCAAGUUCCCACUGCCUCCUCGUCUUGUAUAGCUCUCUUGUCUGUCAUAGUUUGCCUUCAGACAAGAAUCGUAUAUUGAGUCU
rnacentral:lncRNA from 1 species